ACGGGGGAUUAGGGUUCGAUUCCGGAGAGGGAGCCUGAGAAACGGCUACCACAUCUAAGGAAGGCAGCAGGCGCGCAAAUUACCCAAUUCUAACAGCAUAAGAGAGGUAGUGACAAGAAAUAACAAUACAAGGCAGUUAAAAUGCUUUGUAAUUGGAAUGAUAGAAAUUUAAACACUUUUUAAAGUAUCAAUUGGAGGGCAAGUCUGGUGCCAGCAGCCGCGGUAAUUCCAGCUCCAAUAGCGUAUAUUAAAAUUGUUGCAGUUAAAAAGCUCGUAGUUGAAUUUCUGCUAAAAAUAACCGGUCUGCUUUUAACAAAAGUGGUAUCUUGGUGUGUUUUUAGCAAUAAUGUCCUUUGAAAUGUGUUUUACUUUGUUGUAAAAGAUAAUAUUCAGGAUUUUUACUUUGAGAAAAUUAGAGUGUUUCUAGCAGGCUAAUGUUUUGAAUACUGCAGCAUGGAAUAAUAAAAUAGAAUUUUAGUUCUACAUUGUUGGUUUUAAGAGCUGAAUUAAUGAUUGAUAGGGACAGUUGGGGGCAUUUGUAUUUAACUGUC
rnacentral:rRNA from 1 species